GCUCCUGUUUUUUUUUCUCUCACCUGAUUCUGAUCGAACGCGGAUAGGGGCGAGCGAGCCAGCGCGGCGGCGGGCGAGUGUUGGCGGGCGGCGGGAGGGUGUGAGCCGCGUCUUCUGCCCCGCCGGCAUCACCUUGUUCUUCACCGCCCGAUGCCACCGGCCAAUAUGGAUCCAUUUCCCACCGCCUCCAAGCGCUGCCGUGACCCGGCCGUCAUCGUCUCCAACGACGCCGAGCUCCAGUGGCCUGUGACUAGGUCUUGUCGCCUCCGUCCUCGCCUCACGUCCCAAAUACCUUGCAUCGACCACCAACGCCAGUCGCCGCCGUCCUCCUCGCCUCCAACCUCUCCGGCUGCGCUUCGUUCUCAACCUCCAGCUCCAGAUCCCGUAUGGGAGCAGCGGAACUUCAGGUGAGGCAUCUUGGUUUCUUCAGGCCUUCAAGUGGCCGGUGGCCUCGGUGGCGUGCGAUGCUGCGGGUGACCUUGAGUUAAACGCACAUGGCGGAGAGCAGUAGGAAUUGGGCGCGGCAUCGGCGAUGGGGUGAGCGGCCGACGGCCGACGGCGAGCGGGUAAGCUGCGGGUGUGCUCUGCUCUCUGGCUGUCCUCUGCUCCGUCGUGGUCGGCCGGCGGAAUCGCUGGCGCCGUGGUCAGCCGGCUGAAUCGGCGAAGUGGUGCUCCAGCGAGAUCUAUUUGCUGUUAUGCUCGGAGCUGCCAUCUCCGUCGUCCUCGGAUCCGGUUGUCUUUUGGUUUGAUUCGCUCUCAAAUAACCUCAUAUGUUCUGUUGAUUUGGGUCUAUUGCCGGGGGAUCGUGGUCAUCUAUUUACGUCUAAUAAAUUUCCAUGCGUGUUUACCUCGUCCCUAAAAAUUGGUGCAGCACCUGGAUUUUCACCUGUUUUGGAUAGAUGCGUUAGAGGUGGUUCAGUUAUGGCAUGAAAUUUGAUAGGCGGUUGACUCGCUGAGGGAAAACUAGUUAUCCAUCGCAUUCAUAGAUUUAUUAUUGCAGUCUGGGCUUACCUUGCUCAGCAUGUAGGUCAAGGCGUCUCUCCUAGCAUGAAAAUUAUUAGUUCAUGUAAAGUGAGCAGAAGAGAAGACACACCUAAUAAUCUAUGUUCAACACCAGGGCGUAGGAACUCUCCUCUGUCCAUAGAUCCAGGCUGUGCAGACACCAUAGCUAGCUCACCAAUCCCGACAUUUCGUAGCUCACAUGAGUACGACCACGAGAGAUCUAACACCAUCGGCGCUGAGAACAACACACUGAAAUGGCCAUACAUGUCAGCUCGUAACGUGAUCUGCUUAAGCACGGGGCCACGAUAUCAAGGUCACCAAGACACCGGUAGCCACGCAAGACAAGCUACUCAAUUGUCGGUGAGUGGACUUUGACUGCACGCGCAAGUGAGGCACCGCCUAAUCAGCUUAACCAAGUUGUUGAAGCUGCAGCGAGCGACAUACAGCUUCUCCAGCAUAGGGAACUCAACCCCCCCCCCCCCCCCGCCAGUAGUAUUAUAUAGAGUUGGCUGCGCUUAGCUUGGUAGCCCGAUGUUAGUUUUAGUCAUCUACUUUUCCAGCGACUCCUGUGUUUUUGUUCAAAAACUUUCAUUGCCGGAGCUCAUUGAUUCUUCAGGCCUUCGUGGGAGGUGGUUCACAUAUAUCAGUGGUGACGUAUUUUCUUAUCAACUACAUGUUAGGUUGCUCCUACUUCAUCAAAUCUAUUUUUUUCUAGCUGUCGAGGCUGCUGAGGCAAUGGAUCCGUCAAUCUUCUUUUAUUGAUACCAACUAAUUUAUGACUAGCUAUGCAGUCUUUAAUGUAAAAGAUUAAAGAAAAGAUUGGCUCACUUUUCUGCAUGUCACCAAUGCGUAAUUUCUGAUCCAUCAUGGAACUUGUGAUAGAUUGAUCAGUUUUUUCCCAUAUCGUAGCUUGGCUUAUGUGUAGAGCCUGUAAAUUUACAUCAGUGUAUCUACAAGUGUUACUUAUUUUGUGCGCCUCGUUCCUUUUAGCAGAUUACAUGAUUAAGUUUCCAAAGGUUGAACUUGACAUAUCUGCGUACAUGUGAAAUAUUACAACUACAACAGUUUGAUCUAAUUUCAUCGGGAAAUGGUACUCAUAUUUUAACUUCAGAUAACAUUUAUCAGCAUGUAUGGAGCUGUUCAACGAUUCACAAUUAUAUCCUUCGUAUAUCUGUGAUUGAGUUACAUGUAUCUAGCUAUCUUGUGCUACAUUCAGUUAUACUAGAGUUGAUAAUACAAUCCCCAUAACUGGACAAUCAGGUUACUGUUGUAGCCAUAUCCAUCGUCUAGGAGAUUUUUUGAGCAUAUGCUCUUUUGUCGCCGCCGAUGGUUGACCGUAGAUUUACGUCAAGCGACAUGCUUUCUCAAUUUCCACUAAUUAGUUCCAAAUUGAUAUUUCAAGUUUCAGUUCAUCUUUUGUUUAUUGGUUUUGUAAACGAUUUGACUCUGUGGUGACAUGUAUUGAAUUGCUAGGCUAACAGCGGGAAGCAUGGAGGCAACGCCAUCGGCUCACCGUACAACAUGUCCUAGUCAGAGGACCAGCAGGCUAAUGAGCUCUUUAGAAAGAAGCUAGAGAUGUUUUGCAGUGGUCCAUACCGGAGCUCUUGUUCCCAUUGACGGCUCCUCCGCUCGCAGAGGUGUCAGUGCCCUUAUUACGGUGACUCCAACAGCAGAUCUUUCGUUCUGGACAUCAGCUCCCCGGACAAUUCUCCCUGGUACUGCUUCCGAACGGACCAACUGGUUAUCACAAAGUGUGGUAGGUAAUGCUAGUGACAGUUUAGGGAAAACGAUGUGAUUCUGGUUAUAUUGGUCAGAUGUGUUCUUUCCUGGGGAAGCAAUCAGUAUCGAUUGAUUGUAAGUAAACUGUAAUAAGUGGCUCUAAAAGUCCCCUUUUGGAACGCCUGAAUUUGAUGGAAAACGAGUGUAAAUUGUUCUUUUUUCACACU